AGGACAUUCCGCCCUUCCAGCAAGGAAGUUGAAUCAUCUCUGAAGCCUUGAAUUGACAAGCCUGCACGAUGCAGGCAACACUAGUCACUUGCCGGAACAUUUUAUGUUUUACCACCGGCAGCCGCAACGCUCGUGCGUUGUGGUCCACAGAUCAAACACUAGUGGUCUACUGGCCCCUCAUAACACCUACAGCUGUAGAUGUUUUAUGGGGCUCACCCGGUAGAUUAAAAUAUGACCGGCCUCCUCUCGAGAGAAAGGAGACGUUGCGUUCCGUAGGUGAACCUGCGGAAGGAUCAUUACAGAGUUAGGGUCUUCUCAGGCCCGAUCUCCAACCCUUUGUGUACCUACCUUUGUUGCUUUGGCGGGCCCGCUGGGGCGACCCACCGGCGGCCUUUGGCUCCCGAGCGCCCGUCAGAGACCUUUUCAAACCUGUCAAUUGUGUCGUCUGAGUACCAACUUAAUAAUUAAAACUUUCAACAACGGAUCUCUUGGUUCUGGCAUCGAUGAAGAACGCAGCGAAAUGCGAUAAGUAAUGUGAAUUGCAGAAUUCAGUGAAUCAUCGAAUCUUUGAACGCACAUUGCGCCUCUCGGUAUUCCGGGAGGCAUGCCUGUUCGAGCGUCAUUACACCACUCAAGCUCGGCUUGGUGUUGGGCCCUCGUCCCCCGCGGACGUGCCCGGAAAUCAGUGGCGGCGCAGCCCGGCUUCAAGCGGAUCAGUCGUAACAACGCUUUGGAAGCCCGGGUCUGGGUCCGCCAGACAACCCCACCAUUUAUCAAGGUUGACCUCGGAUCAGGUAGGGAUACCCGCUGAACUUAAGCAUAUCAAUAAGCGGAGGAAAAGAAACCAACAGGGAUUGCCUCAGUAACGGCGAGUGAAGCGGCAACAGCUCAAAUUUGAAAUCUGGCUCUUUCAGGGUCCGAGUUGUAAUUUGCAGAGGAUGCUUCGGGUUCGGCUCCGGUCUAAGUUCCUUGGAACAGGACGUCAUAGAGGGUGAGAAUCCCGUAUGUGACCGGYCGCCACGCCCGUGUGAAGCUCCUUCGACGAGUCGAGUUGUUUGGGAAUGCAGCUCAAAAUGGGUGGUAAAUUUCAUCUAAAGCUAAAUAUUGGCCAGAGACCGAUAGCGCACAAGUAGAGUGAUCGAAAGAUGAAAAGCACUUUGGAAAGAGAGUCAAACAGUACGUGAAAUUGUUGAAAGGGAAGCGCUUGCAAUCAGACUUGCCCGCGGGUGAUCAGCCGGUAUUCUUACCGGUGCACUCGCCCGUGGUCAGGCCAGCAUCGGUUUGGGCGGCUGGAUAAAGUCCACCGGAACGUAGCUCCCCUCGGGGAGUGUUAUAGCCGGAGGUGCCAUGCAGCCCGCCCGGACCGAGGACCGCGCU
rnacentral:sRNA from 1 species